GGCGUGUGUUUUGUUUUUUUUUUUUUUGCUUGAUCAUCUUUGCUUUCGUUUUUUCUUGGGCUAGUAUAUCUCUUCGAUUCGUCUCUUCGCUGAUCUGAUGGCUUCCUAAACGUCGAAUUUGGCAGAUUCUUGCGUUUUUUUUUUUUAAAAACUUUUCAAUUUAAUUUAGAGUCGGCGUCUUGCCCCUGGCGUGUCGGAGAUCUGUGUUUUUACUGUUUCGACGCUCUGUACGUUCAGAUUCCCGUGUGCUUGUGCAUAUGCGAUCUGGAUUCGAGUAACAAGAACGUCUGGCUUCAAUAGUGAAUCUGGGUCGUGAGAUUUCGAGGUCUGGACAUUGUUAGCAGUGAGUCGCUGCAUUUUGGAUUUUUGAACUCCUGGUUAUUUAAAAAAAA